rnacentral:piRNA from 1 species
UGGCCAAGAACGAGUCUGGAGAUCGCUGC